GACGAACGCUGGCGGCGUGCUUAACACAUGCAAGUCGAACGAAGAGCGAUGGAAGCUUGCUUCUAUCAAUCUUAGUGGCGAACGGGUGAGUAACGCGUAAUCAACCUGCCCUUCAGAGGGGGACAACAGUUGGAAACGACUGCUAAUACCGCAUACGAUCUAAUCUCGGCAUCGAGGAUAGAUGAAAGGUGGCCUCUACAUGUAAGCUAUCACUGAAGGAGGGGAUUGCGUCUGAUUAGCUAGUUGGAGGGGUAACGGCCCACCAAGGCGAUGAUCAGUAGCCGGUCUGAGAGGAUGAACGGCCACAUUGGGACUGAGACACGGCCCAGACUCCUAUGGGAGGCAGCAGUGGGGAAUCUUCCGCAAUGGACGAAAGUCUGACGGAGCAACGCCGCGUGAGUGAUGACGGCCUUCGGGUUGUAAAGCUCUGUUAAUAGGGACGAAAGGCCUUC
rnacentral:rRNA from 1 species